GGAGGAACCUCUGGAGAGAACCGUUAAAUCGGUCGCCGAAGGAGCAAGGUCUGCACACAUGUGCAGGCUGAAACUUUCAGGCAAAAGGACAGAGGAGUGGAA
rnacentral:ncRNA from 2 species